GAUGAACGCUGGCGGCGUGCCUAAUACAUGCAAGUCGAGCGAACAGACGAGGAGCUUGCUCCUCUGACGUUAGCGGCGGACGGGUGAGUAACACGUGGAUAACCUACCUAUAAGACUGGGAUAACUACGGGAAACCGGAGCUAAUACCGGAUAAUAUAUUGAACCGCAUGGUUCAAUAGUGAAAGACGGUUUUGCUGUCACUUAUAGAUUGAUACGGGCCGCAUUAGCUAGUUGGUAAGGUCACGGCUUACCAAGGCAACGAGGCGUAGACGACCUGAGAGGGUGGACGGCUACACGGGAAGUGAGAAUCGUUCGAGACUCCGGCGGGAGGCAGCAGUAGGGAAUCUUACGCGAUGGGGCAGAGCCUAACGGUGCAAAGCGGGGGGAGUGAUGAUGGUCUUCGGAUGGGAAAGCUCUGUUAGUAGGGGAGAACUAAUGUGUAAUUAACUAUGCACGUCUUGACGGUACCGAGUCAAAAAGCCACGGCUAACUACGUG
rnacentral:rRNA from 1 species